CCUACGGGUGGCUGCAGUCGAGAAUCAUUCACAAUGGGGGAAACCCUGAUGGUGCGACGCCGCGUGGGGGAAUGAAGGUCUUCGGAUUGUAAACCCCUGUCAUGUGGGAGCAAAUUAAAAAGAUAGUACCACAAGAGGAAGAGACGGCUAACUCUGUGCCAGCAGCCGCGGUAAUACAGAGGUCUCAAGCGUUGUUCGGAAUCACUGGGCGUAAAGCGUGCGUAGGCUGUUUCGUAAGUCGUGUGUGAAUGGCGCGGGCUCAACCCGCGGACGGCACAUGAUACUGCGAGACUAGAGUAAGGGAGGGGGAACCGGAAGUCUCGGUGUAGCAGUGAAAUGCGUAGAUAUCGAGAGGAACACUCGUGGCGAAGGCGGGUUCCUGGACAUUAACUGACGCUGAGGCACGAAGGCCAGGGGAGCGAAAGGGAUUAGAUACCCUUGUAGUC
rnacentral:rRNA from 1 species